AUUGAACGCUGGCGGCAGGCUUAACACAUGCAAGUCGAGCGGAGCGGCGGACGGGUGCGUAAUGCCUAGGAAUCUGCCUGGUAGUGGGGGAUAACGUCAGGAAACGGGAGCUAAUACCGCAUCCUCUCAGAUGAGCCUAGGCCGGAUUAGCUCGUUGGUGGGGUAAAGGGCUACCACGGCGACGAUCCGUAACUGGUCUGAGAGGAUGAUCAGUCACACUGGAACUGAGACACGGUCCAGACUCCUACGGGAGGCAGCAGUGGGGAAUAUUGGACAAUGGGCGAAAGCCUGAUCCAGCCAUGCCGCGUGUGUGAAGAAGGUCUUCGGAUUGUAAAGCACUUUAAGUUAGGAGGCGUUACCAACAGAAUAAGCACCGGCUAACUUCGUGCCAGCCGCCGCGGUAAUAC
rnacentral:rRNA from 1 species